rnacentral:rRNA from 1 species
GACGAACGCUGGCGGCGUGCCUAACACAUGCAAGUCGAACGGAAAGGCCUCUUUCGGGGGGUACUCGAGUGGCGAGCGGGUGAGUAACACGUGAGUAACCUGCCCUUGACUUUGGGAUAACUUCAGGAAACUGGGGCUAAUACCGGAUAGGAGCUCCUGCUGCAUGGUGGGGGUUGGAAAGUUUCGGCGGUUGGGGAUGGACUCGCGGCUUAUCAGCUUGUUGGUGGGGUAGUGGCUUACCAAGGCUUUGACGGGUAGCCGGCCUGAGAGGGUGACCGGCCACAUUGGGACUGAGAUACGGCCCAGACUCCUACGGGAGGCAGCAGUGGGGAAUAUUGCACAAUGGGUGGAAGCCUGAUGCAGCAACGCCGUGUGCGGGAUGACGGCCUUCGGGUUGUAAACCGCUUUCGCUCAUGACGAAGCUUUGUGUGACGGUAGUGGGUAAAGAAGCACCGGCUAACUACGUG